rnacentral:piRNA from 1 species
CAGACAUGGUGCUAGGACCCAGGCCA